GACCUGGUAGCAUAAUGGUUAAUGCACCUGCAUUCAGUCACGCAGAAACCUAGUGUUUUAUGCAGAGGAUCGUCGUUCGAUUCGGGGUCAAGUCG